CAUACCAGUAGCAAUUCAUAAAGCUAUUUCCACCACUUUUGUCUCUGCACCAUGCUAAGUAUCUUUGCCAAAUGUUAUUAAAGCCAGAGGAGCAAGGCUAGUGAAAAAAACGGUGGCGACUUUACACAGAAAGGGGGGAUGAUGUGAUUGCAACUGUACAAAUGUGACUGGGCAGCGGAAGUGAGAAGCGUAACAAGGACCAACUGUAUUAUCUGUGAAUGGAAAUACAUUUGACAAUAUUUCACAGGCUUGUCAAGUAAGGAGAUAUUACCCCUCGACUUUGAAGGAAGGUAAUGAGUCAGAGAGCAAAGACCAUACAGGAACUGCGCAAUUCAAAUACGUAAACAAAUGAACAGAAUGUGACAUAUCUUUUAGUGAAACCACUAAAGACUCCAUUACACAAACACAGGUAAUGUCAAUACAGCUUCAUAAUCCUUAUUCAGCCCCUUUAUACCUCUUUAUUUGCAUGGAUUAACUAAUCAAUGGAACUAUAUUAGGACUGUGACAUCUGCCACACAUCCAAAAGAAGGACUGUGACUCAGUGCUUUGCAUGCAAAAGGU